rnacentral:rRNA from 1 species
CUCCGGUUGAUCCUGCCGGACCUGACUGCUAUCGGAUUGGUACUAAGCCAUGCGAGUCAUUGUAGCAAUACAAGGCGGACGGCUCAGUAACACGUAGUCAACCUAACCUAUGGACGUGGAUAACCUCGGGAAACUGAGAAUAAACCGCGAUAGAUCAUUAUGCCUGGAAUGGCUUAUGGUUCAAACAAUUUAUUGCCGUAGGAUGGGACUGCGGCCUAUCAGCUUGUUGGUGAGGUAAUGGCCCACCAAGGCUAUAACAGGUACGGGCUCUGAGAGGAGAAGCCCGGAGAUGGGUACUGAGACACGGACCCAGGCCCUAUGGGGCGCAGCAGGCGAGAAACCUUAGCAAUGUGCGAAAGCACGACUAGGUUAAUCCGAGUGAUUCCUGUUGAAGGAAUCUUUUGUCAGUCGUAAAACCACAGACGAAUAAGGGGUGGGCAAGUCUGGUGUCAGCCGCCGCGGUAAUACCAGCACCUCGAGUGGUCAGGAGGUUUAUUGGGCCUAAAGCAUCCGUAGCCGGCUUUGCAAGUCUCCGGUUAAAUCCAGCUGCUCAACAGAUGGGCUGCCGGAGAUACUACACAGCUAGGGAGCGGGAGAGGCAGACGGUAUUCUGUGGGUAGGGGUAAAAUCCACUGAUCCAUAGAGGACCACCAGUGGCGAAGGCGGUCUGCCAGAACGCGUUCGACGGUGAGGGAUGAAAGCUGGGGGAGCAAACCGGAUUAGAUACCCGGGUAGUCCCAGCUGUAAACGAUGCAAACUCGGUGAUGCAUUGGCUUAUGGCCAAUGCAGUGCCGCAGGGAAGCCGUUAAGUUUGCCGCCUGGGAAGUACGGACGCAAGUCUGAAACUUAAAGGAAUUGGCGGGGGAGCA